ACAGUAAAUAUUACUGUAGAACGUUUGUAUCAUAAUACGUAAUACGACUCUUACCGAAAAUACAAAUAUUAUCGACGGUUCAAAGAUAUAUAAGUUCAUAGAAGUAUAUACAGGAAUUCUCAACACGAAUCAUGUUGCUCUGUGUGUUAAGCAAUUUGGCAACGUCGCUAAGGCUUAAUCCGGCCAGAAGGAAUGGAGCCUAGCAACCAGUGAGGUCAACAAACGAGGUCAAAUCACAGAUUACCUGCGCAGUACGACGGAAAUAAUGAUGAUGCAGAUGUAAAUACAUAUGUAUGUUGAAAUACAUAUCUCUUUUUUAUAGUUUUAUUAAAGAAACUUUCGUUUCCUUAUUAAAUGAUGUAACAUUUUUUGCUUCAAAGAAGAAUGUAAGGUUAGAACAGAAAAUAACACACACACGCACACACAAAUAAAAGGAAGAGUUUUAUUUUUAUUACUAUUAUUGUUAACGAAAAUGUAUUCUUUUUCAUUUAGACAGUAAAAAAAGAAAAAAAAGAAAAGAAAACGAAAUCGAAAGACAGAAUAUUCAUGAAUUCUUUUAAGAUAAAAUCUGAAUAAAUCUUUAGCAAUGAUGCAACUUUGUGAAUAUAUAGAUAUUAUAUAUAUAAUAUAUAUAUAUAUAUAUACAUAUAUAUAGAAUGUGCGCGCGCACAUUAUACGCAAAACGUAUAGAUUCGAUCUAUGUAAAAUAAAGCAUCAAUACUUAUUCAACUGUAGAAUCAGAAGAUGGGAAGCUGUGAAAAAGGGAGAUGGCGAUUGGUAGUAGUGGAAUGGUUGGGAGUUGCAGAGCUGUACAUAUGAAUUUCGCCGUAGGUAGAUUUUUAUGAAUCUAGGCGGUAGAUACGAGAAAGAGAGAGAGAGAAAGUGACAGAGUGGGGAAUAGGGAGGAGGAAUUGGGAGAGAAUUGGAAGAGAGAGAGAAAAAGAGAAAGAGAGAGAGUCAGUAGGUAGAAUCAAAAGGGAAAUAGUUGGAAGGGAGUAGGGCGUGGCACUCUAUAUCACCGAAAAUAAAUGGAAUGUAUGGUAGCGAUUUAAGCAAGUUAGCAGUACUAUACUACAGUCUACUUCGUGUACAUUUUUUUUUAUUUUCAGAAGCGUUGCUGUUAAUACUGAAAGAGAGAGAGAGAAACAGAGACAGAGACAGAGAUAGAGAGAGAGAGAGAGAGAGAGAGAGAGAGAGAGAGAGAGAGAGAGAGAGAGAGAGAGAAUCACUAUUUUAAAGUUAGAAUAUUUGGAAAACAUAAAUAUUAAAUUUAUUGCCCUAACUACGGGUACGAAAUUGUUCGAUAUUAAUUACUAUACCAAUGUUAAUACGCAACUUUACCAUACGCGCGCGCGCGCACGUGUCUGUGUACGCAAGAGAGAGAGAGAGAGAGAGAGAGAGAGAGAGAGAGAGAGA